AAAAUUAGAGUGUUCAAAGCAGGCAGAUUCAUUUUCUGCCACCGAAUACAUUAGCAUGGGAUAAUGGAAUAGGACCCUGUCCUCCUAUUUUCAGUUGGUUUUGGCAGCGCGAGGACUAGGGUAAUGAUUAAUAGGGAUAGUUGGGGGCAUUAAUAUUUAAUUGUCAGAGGUGAAAUUCUUGGAUUUAUGAAAGAUUAACUUCUGCGAAAGCAUCUGCCAAGGAUGUUUUCAUUAAUCAAGAACGAAAGUUAGGGGAUCGAAGACGAUCAGAUACCGUCGUAGUCUUAACCAUAAACGAUGCCGACCAGCGAUUAGGAGACGUUGAAUACAAAACACCACCAUCGGCGCGGUCGUCCUUGGCGCGUUCGUGUUCACGCACGGGCGCGCGAGGGCGGUUUAGCCCGGUGGCACCGGUGA
rnacentral:rRNA from 1 species